UUUAAAUGUCAAAUAUACAAAGUGAAAACUAAUGUCGAGAUUUAUUUAAAAACAAAUCCUGAUAACCUGAAGCUGUGGCUACAGCUUCAGAAGUGGGAUCCCGGAAAAUAACACUAUUUUCUGUUCCACGCCAACGACUACGUUAAAGUUUUCAGAUUCUGAACUAUGGAACGAGGUGAUGAUCAGCCACGGAGAGUGGCCUAUGACUGGUUUAGUGCAGACCCAGGUGUACCCAGGUUCGAGGGUCAGGGUCGGGAAGCACUAGAAAUUAUUAUUCAGAGUAAGCAAGGGUAUUGCGGGUGCGCUAUACCGAAGUAGAGAAGGGUAUUGCGGGUGCGUUAUACCGAGGUAGAGAAGGGUAUUGCGGGUGCGUUAUACCGAGGUAGAGAAGGGUAUUGCGGGUGCGCUAUACCGAGAUAGAGAAAGGUAUUGCGGGUGCGCUAUACCGAUGUAGAGUAUAACACAGAUAAACGGCUUGACGGAGGGCGUCAACGACGGAAAGAAUUUGCAGGGCGGAGAAAUAUAGAGAGAUCUGUUCGUAUACCGGUGGGUGCAAAACGAGGAUGUUCGACUAGCUCUUCUCUGGAACGUGGUGAAUUGAGCUAAGAGGAAGAAGUGAAGCUAAGACCAGACACGAGAAGAUGAGGUAAAUUCAAAAUCUCGAGCCGGAUGAUUUAGUUAAUUGAAGUUAACAAUCGAUUCAGUUAAUGAAGAGUUCAAAUUCAGUGGUAGAUUAUUUUGACGAUUCAACAGCACUUGUAAAAGUUUAAUUAAAAAAAAAUAUAUACUUUGAAUUUGAAGAUAAAUCAAAGUUAACUUUUAACACUAAUAAUUUAUUAUUCCUGAGUUCGAUUCUAUGUCGAGAGAACAAACGAUCCCAAUUUGACUAAUAAAAGUAGAAGCAUGUUCUGAAAAUUUCCAUCCAUUAUACCUUUCCAAAACUAGCUAAUGUAGCUAAGUCAUGGUAUCAGAGCUUACCGAGUAUGAAAGUAUAUGUGGGCCGAAAGGAAAAAUAAACUAAUCGAAUCAUUUUCCUUGCGAACAGACUACGCUGAAUUCUUGACUAAAACAAAAUACUGGUUAAGCAAGUUAAAUAUGGAGAAUCUGUUGAGCAAUAAUAUUAUGCUAAGGUAUAUUUAAAACAAAAACAAAUUUUUAAUAAUUAUUAUUGUUCGUUUAUGUAUAAGAGUUAACUGCCAUACUUAUUUGUCAUCAUUUAAAUAUUUGAAACCAUAUUAUCUACAUGGUUAUCAUUUUAUAUUUUCUGUGUAUAUCUUGUUUGAUGCAUAUAUUUAUUUAAGAAUUGCUGUGUACAUUGUACAACGGUUGUUGCUUGGAUCCUGAUCUAUUGUUUCUAUAUUUAGACUUUCUACAUUUAUAACCUGUUGGGUGCGCCUUUUUCAAUAAAAUAAAAUAAAAUGAAAUUUGUUAAAUGGGUGUAAAUUAUGGAUAUCAGGCUGUAGAUUGUUUACUGUACGGCGUUGAGGAUAGAGCUGUAAAAGUUAGUGCGUAGGCUGAACAGUUUUAAGAACCAAAAAAAAAAAGUCAUAAAAUAUUUUAGAAUCUUUAAAUUAUGUCAAGCCCCGAAAUCUACGAUUCACAUUUUAAAUUUCGGAAUGAACAUAGGAAU